rnacentral:lncRNA from 1 species
UUCGUGUCUUAUUUACAUUUUGCAGAAAUAUCACAUAAACUUUGGACACUGUAUGUUAGACAUGGGUCAUAGCUUUUAGCAGUCGUCUUGCACUGCAGAACAUGACAAUACCUAGCUUAUAGCAGUCGUUUUCCACUCCAGAACAUCACAAUACCUCAAAGAAGCCUGAAAGUGCCUUUUCUUACACUUAAACCAGACAACCUGGAACUGUUUGGCAAACUUUGAGUGCACUUGCGGUUAUCACAAUUAGAAGGAGUUGUGGUCAGGCGAUAGAACUUGCAGGAAGUAAAACGUACGUAAUUUCAAUUUUGUAAAAGUGGGGUGGAAAGUCGUCAAGCAAUCGAUUAAAUUACGAAAUAUUUGCCGCGAACCGUCGCAGAAGUCUAAUAUGAUGCUUCUGCGUACCGUUUCUACGUCAUUACCGCUUCGGGCAGUAGCAUUCUUGCAAGCCUGUUAGCAGUGUCCAGUGCAUAAGUGUAUCUCGUUUCUGUAGUCCGCUGGUCUAUGCUGUCUAUAAACGAAGACGAUGCCUGAAGGCUUGCUGUGAUAACAACCUAGGAUUGGAUAGACAAACUAUUUUAUUUCCAAAAAUGCCUCUAAUGAGCUGAUUGAAAAAUUCAAUGGACAUGAUAUGUUAACAAUGGUUUCCAUUAAAACAUAAAGAUGAACAUGAGAUAAAUCAAAACGAGUCGACACGUGGAGUAACAGAGCCCCACUCAUACUUUCUUCUCUUGGACUUGGAAAGGGCGGUUGUAUUUAUGAACUGGUUAUCAUUUAAACACGUUAAAUGAACAAGGAGACAAACAAGUAAGAAGGAUUCGAAACCUGGAGAAGCGAAGUCCCGUUAAUGUUUUUUAGGAAAAACAUGCAGUUUAAUCAUACUGGUGUACACAAGAUUGCACAUGUGACGUUGUGUCUUCUGCUCUGUGGCUCAUUUCACCAUCAGCGGUAUUAGUAUUCCUUUCAACUGCUGUCAACGCUUAGGACUCGAGCACCUUCGGUAUUCGUCGAGAUUGUUCAACAAAUGCAAAAGAAAUAAAGUUCAGUUUGGUCCUACCAAUGUCUACUGGGGCGGCAUCUUUCCUGGAUUGUAUUCUAGAUUAGCUGUUUACAUCUUUGCCUUGCAACAUUAUGAAGUUAAUUUUCAACUGAUGUGUGAGAGCAACUGGAGAUUAAUUUGAAUUCCAUGGAAACAACAAAUUUUCUGCGAUGGUAUCUCUGCCGGAUUUGUUUUGCUUUUUACACCUUCAAAGUUUGGAACGUUACAGUCCACAGUUAAUUAAGAUCGACGCUGGAGAAGACAAAGAAGAUCCCGUAGUUAAAA